CCCUUAGAUGUUCUGGGCAGCACGCGCGCUACAAUGGCAAACUCAGCGAGUCUCCUUUACCGACAGGUAUAGGAAAUCUUUUCAGUGUUUGCCGUGAUGGGGCUAGACCCUUGUAAUUAUUGGUCUCCAACGAGGAAUUCCUAGUAAACGCAGGUCAUUAACCUGCAUUGAUUACGUCCCUGCCCUUUGUACACACCGCCCGUCGCACCUACCGAUUGAAUGGUCCGGUGAAGUCUCCGGACUGAGUACUUUUAGUACUUGGGAAGUUGACUAAACCUUACUAUUUAGAGGAAGGUGAAGUCGUAACA
rnacentral:rRNA from 1 species